rnacentral:lncRNA from 1 species
CAAGCUGGGAAUUACUUCGUAAUAAUGGCCUGAGAACUUUUCUGUGGCAUUGUUAAUCUCCUACAAGAACUUGACUAUGAGGAAAUAGAAGAAAUUCGGCGCUUGAGAUUACCACGUACAGUACUACGGGAUCGCAGUGACCCAAUGGUAUACCUCACGGAAGAGGAAUUCAUCCAAAGGUAUCGACUAUCAAAGGAUUAGUGAUGUGACAUCAAGCAGAAACUAAAACUAGUGUCUUCACAGCUACAGCAACGUGCACUGAGAAAUUUCAGAAAUAUGAUAUCAGAACUGGAAAAUGAAGGUAAACAAUGUGAUCAGUUUAACAGUGGGCGCUAUACUGAACAGGUACAAUACCUCGCCUCAGAUUUUGACGGGUUUUCAAGAUAGAGCAGCAAUGGAACCUGUUGCAACAUAUAUGUAUCAUACACAGUCUUACCCUUCCUACCCAUAUUCUUACCUAAUACUU